UCAUUCAUCUGCUAAAAGAAUUCCACGUUAGCAUUUUUCCAAACCGUACAAAGUUUCAAGAUAAAGUGAAAUUUGGGGGCAGAGCUUUUUAAGCCACACCCAGCCUUCCUACAAUAGGAGGAAGUGAAGAGUUGUUGACAACUUUAGGCAUAAAUUCCACCGCUGCUGUCCCCUUUAAUGUAGAAAUUAACAACUCAGGCUCUCUGCGCAGCCGCACCUCCUCCUCUCUGCCUCAGUGGGAACCAGCAAAUCAGCAAACCCUUGCUGGGGGUGCACUGGAGAGAGAGUCUGAUAUGCUUUAAGAGGUGGCAAGGAAAAACAGCUCCCCAUGGAUGUUCCCCAUAUGGAAAAAGGCCAGGACUGGAAACAUUAGGAAGAAGGGUUAUCCAAGCCUUAGGUGACAUAAAGGGAACUGGCAGCACAUCCAAGAGGAGAGGACAGGGCACAGAAGACAAAAGGAGACGGCUGACUUUCGGCACACCUACUCUCCAAUUCUGUCACCAGUCCCUGCCCAAAUUUCCUUUUCCUCAACGACUUGGAGGAGUUAUUUCAACAAGUCCUUGUGAAGAAUAACUAUCAUCAAGAAACACAAAAAGGAAACUACUGGGCUUCCCUGAUUUCCAACCCAAUAACCUAAGGAGAACAGCACAAACUGAAAUGCCCACAGCAACUGAGGCAGGCCCCACAAAUGGGAUUAAGGGGCCAGAGAAGCCUGUGCCCAUGGGAGGGGAGAGCCUGGACCCCAGCCCAGGAGACUGUGCCAGGUGGGAGUGUGGCCCCCAGAAUGGCCAAGCCAUCUGAUUUCUCAAGAGAAGUCAUAAAUACAGAUUUUCAGAUUAAUCACCCGAUUUUUAACCGUUAGCAACUCAUAUAAGAUUUUAGGUAACCAUGUGCAAUGAAACAGGAAGUGAUGGCCAACAUGAGGAACUAGUUUGUACACUGUGGUAUUUGCAGGACACAA